rnacentral:rRNA from 1 species
CACGGAGUUAGCCGGAGCUUAUUCUCCCGAUACUGUCAUUAUCAUCUCGGGUAAAAGAGCUUUACAACCCUAAGGCCUUCAUCACUCACGCGGCAUUGCUGGAUCAGGGUUGCCCCCAUUGUCCAAUAUUCCCUACUGCUGCCUCCCGUAGGAGUCUGGGCCGUGUCUCAGUCCCAGUGUGGCUGAUCAUCCUCUCAGACCAGCUAAGGAUCGUAGCCUUGGUGAGCCUUUACCUCACCAACUAGCUAAUCCUACGCGGGCUCAUCCCUGGGCGAUAAAUCUUUGGACUUUCGUCAUCAUCCGGUAUUAGCGUCAGUUUCCCGACGUUAUUCCGAACCCAAGGGCAGAUUCCCACGCGUUACGCACCCGUGCGCCACUAGACCCGAAGAUCUCGUUCGACUUGCAUGUAUUAGGCAUGCCGCCAGCGUUCGUUCUGAGCCAGGAUCAAACUC